rnacentral:misc_RNA from 1 species
GAUGAAGAACGUAGCGUAAUGCGAUACGUAAUGUGAAUUGCAGAAUUCAGUGAAUCAUCGAGUCUUUGAACGCACAUUGCGCCCCCUGGUAUUCCGGGGGGCAUGCCUGUCCGAGCGUCAUUGCUGCCCUCAAGCACGGCUUGUGUGUUGGGCCUCCGCCCCCCGGCUCCCGGGGGGCGGGCCCGAAAGGCAGCGGCGGCACCGCGUCCGGUCCUCGAGCGUAUGGGGCUUCGUCACCCGCUCCGUAGGCCCGGCCGGCGCCCGCCGGCGACCCCCCUCAAUCUUUCCAGGUUGACCUCGGAUCAGGUAGGGAUACCCGCUGAACUUAAGCAUAUCAAUAAGCGGAGGA